AUUUUGAAUUUUAAUGGAUUAAAAAUAUAUAUAGAGUACACACAAAAAUACUCCUACAUAUAUAAAUUACAAAUACAAUUGCUUUGAAAUGGGAGUUUUGUGCAGAGCAGAAUUUUUCUGGCAAAGAAAUAAAGAAAAACCAGAAUCCGUAUCAUCCCAUUCCUCGCGGUCAUCUUCAAGAUCAUCAUCGCCAUCUCACUCCGAGUCUGAGGAGGAGGAGGGUGAUAGAAACGCUGUUUCACAUUUCGUGUAUGAAGACAAGAAAAAGAAAAAAAUAGUAGGCCUGGCCGCCGAUGAGGAUACCAGAACUGAGAAAACGGAGACGGAUAAAGAAAGUGUUAGCGAAAUCAGAAAGAUUUCUGGAUAUUCUGAUGAGGAAGAAUACCCAGAUGGAGAAAAAUAUAGCAAGGAGCAGAAUGCCGCAACUAAAGUUCAAUCACAAGAAAAGACAAUUAUCAGACGUCAACGUAGUUCGAGCUCAUCAUCUAGCUCAUCAAGUUCAAGGUCAAGGUCUAGAACUCCUGAAAAAGUCAUUGUUGCGAAAUCCCAAUCAAAAGAUAGGUCUCCAUCGCCUGUUGGAAAAAGAAAAUCACCUUCUCCAGAGCCUAAAAGAAAGUCGCCAUCCCCAGAACCUGCCAGAAGAUCACCAUCACCCCCAGGAAGACGGUCUCCCUCACCGGUUCGUAGAGCAUCUAUAUCCUCGGCCUCAUCUACUUCAUCUGUGCACGUAUCAGAGCCUGAGGAGAAAGAGGAAACAGAUAAAGUUUUAAUAGGAAAGUCAAGGCAGUUAGAUUCUCAACCAAGACCUACACCAAUAGUUAGGAAGGAGUCCGUACCUGUUGAAUUUAAUUACACGAGUUAUACAGAAUCGGUUACAAGUGGUGAUGUUGGAAAAUCCAUUACAGAGGAAGAAUCUUUUAGACCACGGUCUCCACUUCCUAAGGAAUUUCAAUAUAAAAAACAAUAUGAGGAUUCGCCACCACGACAAAACAAAUUGAAAAGUUUCAGAAAGAGUUCUACUUCAUCGAACUCGUCUUCAGAUGGAGGUAAGAAACAAUUCCCUAGCACAACAAAGCAUUCCUCGUCCUCCACCAGCGAGUCGGAAAAUGAUGAGAAAAAGAAAAAAAUUAGAAGAAGUUCAAGCUCCAGUACCAGUUCCACAGAAGCAAAAAGAAAGUUUGGAGCAGAAGCUACAAAGGAUAAAAAGAGUAGUUCAGAUUCUGAUUCAGAUAGUAAAAGAAGAAAACCUCGAGCUUUGUUUCCAAAAAGAAAUCUAGCAGUUCAUCAAGUGAGUCAGAAUCUGAUAAGAAAACAAAGAUUCCAUCACCACCAAGGAAAAGCCCAUCCCCACCUGCUGUUACAAAAUUUAGCAGGAAACCAUCUUCUUCUUCCUCGUCGAGCAGUUCAAGUGACUCGGAGUCGACGACAGCUAGAACAGAAGAUGGAAAGAAUAAAUCUAGCCCCCUUAGUGGAAACAUUGAACAGCAAAGCGUGACCAUUGAAGAGCAAAGGAAGGCGAGUGUUCCUCUUCCAGUGUCUGAGGAGUUGAAAGAUGCGAAAAAGUCAAGUAGUUCAAGCAGUGGUUCUAGUAGUUCAUCGGAAACGGAGACGGAAGCCCCUAAACCAUCCGUAAAGCCAUCGUCCCCUCCUGUUCAGAGAAAAGAGGAAACUGUUAUUACAAAGUCAGAAGAACAAGCCAAGCCUACAAAAUCUGUUUCAAGUUCCAGUUCAAGCAGCAGCGACUCAUCAGAAACAGAAACUGACAGGUCAGAGAAACCUCCUGUGACGAAAGUACCAUCCCCACCUCCGGGACCGAAACCCUCAUCUCCUGUCAUAGAAAAAAGAGUGCAAAAACCCGGGGAUGCCACAACAAAACCGGCGUCAAGUUCAAGUAGUUCCAGUUCAGGCAGUAGUGACUCAUCAGGAACAGAAACUGACAGAUCAGAGAAACCCCCUGUGACGAAAGUACCCUCCCCACCUCCGGGACCGAAACCCUCAUCCCCUGUCAUAGAAAAGCAAGUGGAAAAGCCAGCAGAAGUCACAACAAAACCGGCGGCAAGUUCAAGUAGUUCCAGUUCUGGCAGUAGUGACUCGUCAGAAACAGAAACUGAUAGAUCAGAGAAACCUGCUAUGACAAAAGUACCCUCACCACCCCCUGGACCAAAGGUGUCUUCUCCGGUCAUUGAAAAGAUAGUUGAAAAGCCAGCACCAGAUACAGAAACAAAAAAAGAUGAGUCAAGUGGUAGCGAAGACAGCAGUUCUGAUUCUGGUUCUUCAUCUUCCGACUCUGAAAGCGAGAACGAGGAAGAGAAAAAGAAAUCCAAAGGGCAGGGCGAGCAGCAAUCUUCUGGAGCAGUACCCACCUAACACCCCCCUCUCUCUCUCUCUCUUUCUCUUAUAAUUUGACUAACAUGCUGUUGUAGUGCACUCCUAUAUGUCUGUCUUUGUUCUUUGUUCUCAAUCCACUAAUCUUCUGCCUCUUAUUUUAACCAGAUUUAAAUAAUGCAUCUAGAUGGUAACAAAUACUGUUGUAGAAAGGGAAGGAAUUUAAAUCUUACUUUUUUUUUAAUAAUAUAGAUUUAAGAAUUUCAAUUCAGAUUAAUGUAGUUUUGCAUCUAUAUUAUUUUUAUUGGUGCAGUAUUUGUUAGGUAAUGCCUUAGAAGAACAAUUCUAUUUUUUAAUGUUUGGAAUUUUUGUAAAGAAACUUGAAUAAUGAAAUACCACCUCCCCGUCCAUUGAAGUACAAUUAAUUUUCACAAACUCUUUUUAAAAGUAUUUCUUGUGUCCUUGUCCACAUUUUUUUUAAUCCUUUGUAAUAAUAUGCCGCUGCUGCCCUCCCAAAGGAAUUGCACUGGUCAUAAAAUUCAUUCAGAUCAGACACCGAAUUAUUUAUGUUGUAUGUUACAUUCACCUUUCAACUAACAUCUUCCUAUGUUCCUCUGUUAAUAUUUAUAAUUCUGCUCCACUGACGCCCUUCCGUGAAUCAAGACAGUUAGAAAUAGAAAAACCUGAGGAAAAAGAUAUAAAGAGUGAUUCCAAUGCGAAGUCUGUUAAAGAACAAAAAGAUUUGCCUAUCAGCGAGAGUGAUACUGACAAGAAGGUCUCGAUUUUCAACAGUGACACUGAUGGUGAAAACAUGCAUGGAGGAAAUGAUCCAGAUGAGGUAGAGGCUGGUGAAAAGGGUGCUACAUCUUAUUUGUCCCGAAUUGGAGUAAAACCAGGAAUCCCAGUUGAGGGAUCCGUUACACCAAUGUUUGAGGGGAAAUCUGAUAUAGAUCUUAACAGCAUAGCUCUAUCCAACGAACAGGUAACUGAAAUUUCGGACUAUUUGGCUAAGAAAGACGACAUCAAGACAUUCUCACUCAGAAAUGCGUGUCUGGACAGUGACAAGUUUGAAAACAUUCUAAAAGCUCUGAAAACAACAAAAUCAGAAAUACAGAUGAUCAAUAUGAACCUGAAUAAACUCAACGCAACUUCUGCAAAAGAGAUUGGAGAACUUCUUGUGGAGAAACCAUCGCUGCAGAUUCUCUUACUUCAUGGGAACCCAGUCGGAGACACAGGAAUCAAGUACAUUUCAGAAAGUCUGAAAGAUAUUCAUAGCGCAUAUCUUUCCCACAAAGACGAAGAAAAUCCACCAAAAUACUGUCAGCUUCUGGAACUGGAUCUUGGAGAUACUGCCAUCGGAGAUGAGGGAGUUGAACACGUAUCGACUCUUCUAGAAUCCAACACAUCACUGAAAACACUGAACCUAAAUGGGAACACCAAAAUCACAGUGGCGGGAUGGAAACGACUCGGGAAGGCGUUGAAAAAGAACACCACCCUUCAUACGUUGACUCUGGACUUCAACACGAUUGGGGAUGAUGGCAUCGCUGGUCUUGUCAGUGGAUUGAAAGACAAUCAAACACUGAAGGUGCUGGAGUUAGAGGAAGGGUCUAUUUCUGAUGAAGGAGGAAGGAAGCUGGUGGAGUUACUCAAAUGUAACACUACCAUCUUAGACAUAACUGUCUCACCAGGAAAUGCCAUAUCAGAGAAGAUAAGAGGAGAAAUUGUGAAUUAUCUUGGCCUUAAUAAAGCUGCCGCUCAACCUAAGUCAAGUUAAAUGAUUAAAUAUUUUGCGUUGUAUUUUUUCUAUGUAGACAAGAUGUGCUUUCAGUUUAGGUGUUUUUCAAAUAAAGCUAGUGUAAUGUAAUAAACUAAGAAUUUUUACUAUGUAGAAAGUGCUUCAUGAACAGGUUGAAAGGUAAUUUGGCCUAAAGAAUUAUUUGCAUAUUUUAAAUAGUAAUAUCUUAAAUUGCUUAAAUGUAGCAUAUUUCUAUAUUUGACGAAGUCUGUUAUUAAGAUAAUUUUUUGAAAUUUUUAUUCAUAUCGGUAGUAACUGAAAAAAAAUUUAAUAUUUGCAUGUAGGUAUUAUAGAAUUUUAGGUUCUUGUUAAAAUUUUAUUUUAUUUCUUGUUACUUGGUUUGUAUAUUGCACUUAAUCCGUCCGUUUUUAUAUUUAUUUAUAAUACGUUUGUCCUUUUUCAAGUUAUUGUUUGUUUCUGGGAUCAUGUGAUCAUGUGAGUUUUAUUUUUUCAGAACAAUAAAUCAUGAAACUUGGAAGUCUCAAAGAACCCUGUGAUAAAUAUAUAAAUAUCUCUAUACUAUUUCUAAUGAGUAUCUGAAAAGUAUUAAGGCCUUCAUAUUUAAUGAAUGCUAUUCUUUAUAUUAUCUUUAAAGAAACAACGAUUUCAUUACAUACCCUUUUGGAUUUUACAAGCAUGUAUAAAUAUGUUGGUUGUGAAAAUAUUUUUUUCUUACUUUGUAAGAAGAUAUUUUUGUAUAGGUUUAACGCCAUUGCUCAGGCUUGAUUAGAACAUUCCGUGCAUACAAAUGGAUAAAAUAUUCUAAAUCAAGGAAGAUGUAUAACUUUUGCUGAUAUUGUAUGAUUGUACAUGUAUUUGUGAAUAGUGAUUUGCUUGCAACCCAGCUGUAUCCAUUUAUUGUUGUUUUUAUUUGUUGAUGUUAAUCAGUCCUCGUCUGCCAUUCGGUGUAGCCUUUGCAUAGUAAAUAAAACUAGACUUAGUCAAAUGAUGUUGCUUAUUAAUAUUUUUA
rnacentral:sRNA from 1 species